CCAACUUGGAAACCCCAGGAAGUCACUCUCCCCUGGCUCUAUCCAUGUGGCAUAGGGGAGGGAGAACAGGGCCCUGCCCUGUGAUGUACAUUCCCUUUCCAAGAUGUUGGAAAUAAAGCUGGACUUCGAGUCUGUGCCUGCAUAUUCCCACAACAUCUCAGAGUUUUAGUGACUCCCAGAGCUCAGUUGCCUUCAGGAGAUCUUU